AAGAGAGGUCACAGAAUUUGGUUUCCAGGGUUUAAAUGGAUACUUUCAAAUGAUGCUCAUGUUUUAAAGUCUUCAUCUUUCUUAAUGCAUAGCAAAGAUGGUAGAAGUUGCAGAAAACAAUAAAACAAUGUGUUCACCCAAAAACAGUAGUGUGGAAUGAGGAGAUGGAGAAAGCCCACUGUCAGCUGAGUGACAGGAGCAGGCAGGCACGAAGCCAAAGAAGGCAGAAGAUUGCAUGGAUAGCAGCUGGGAGGAGGGAUGCUUGGGCAGAAAGUCUAGUCCUGCAUGUAUAAGAAAAAACAGCUGCAAUCUGGCUCAAAAUUUCUGUAUUCUGUCCUUAAAUUUUGAGGUGUUCCAGGAUGAUGAAACAUGGUUUCUAAUCAGAAAUUAUCCAAACAGUCAAUGA
rnacentral:lncRNA from 1 species